CAUGCGCGGCGGGGCCGGCCCCUCUCCCCGACUGGAUACUCACAGACUGCCCCCAGCACCCCAGACAGGCGACACAGCCAGCGGAAGAAGAUAACUAGGGACGUCCAGCGGCUUGCUCAGAUCAAGAUAGAGCCAACCGCGGCCAGCGAAUCCCUGCCUUGCCAUGGGAUGGGUUUUCAAGCCAGGUCUGGACAGCUUAUAAGAAAAAAACGCCGGUCAG
rnacentral:lncRNA from 10 species